rnacentral:rRNA from 1 species
GGUGAGGCCGGGCACUCUGGAUGGACUGCCGGCGACAAGCCGGAGGAAGGUGGGGACGACGUCAAGUCAUCAUGGCCCUUAUGUCCAGGGCGACACACGUGCUACAAUGGCCGGCACAGCGGGAAGCGAAGGGGCGACUCUGAGCGGAUCCCUUAAAGCCGGUCCCAGUUCGGAUUGCAGUCUGCAACUCGACUGCAUGAAGUUGGAAUCGCUAGUAAUCGUGGAUCAGCAAGCCGCGGUGAAUACGUUCCCGGGCCUU